rnacentral:lncRNA from 1 species
AGACGUGCUUAGAAGGCAGCUGAGCACACAGUGGGUGUCAAUCAAUGGGAACCCUCACUAGCAAUAGUAACGGAAUAUUCCAUUUGACCAAACAUCAAGGCUGACGUCUGACAAUGUCUUGCUCAAGUACAUUGACUCAUUUUUCCGAAAAAAUAAAUCUAAUUUUCAGCCUUUUCCUAGGACAGGUCCCUCAAUGGAAUGGCUCAAACAUUGUUCAGACACAGGGACUGAGGGCUUUGCUGGCAAACAGUCUUUUGCUGGCUCGCUGCCUACUUUUACCCUGGUCACCAACUUCUCCAAGUCCUCUUCGCAGAGCUUUUUGGGGUCCUUGUAAUAUUGUGGAACCACAUCACCCCCGUUCUUUGGGCUCUCGGCCAUGGGUUUUGUUGCUUUCCUUGCUACGGCAUCGUAGCCGUGAUCAUCUGCCACGGGCUGGUGCUGGUACUGCUCCAUCCACUUCACGGUUCCCGUUUUCAGCAAGCAUCUGUUCUCCUUGAACCAACGCACAAUCUCAGUUCGGACCAGGCCAGUCUUGGCCGCUAACUGGUCGUACUCCUGGGGAGUAGGCCACUGGGUUCUUGCAAACGUGCUCCUCAGGAGAUGAACCUGUUCUUGACUUUUUGCAAUUACUGGCGAAGGGCUGGGCAGAGAACUUGUUAACUGGGCACCGGAGAGCUGGUCGAGUCGAGACAGAGCACCAUUGGGGGCUCCCACAUCUUGGCCUUUUUUGCCAGACCCCAUGGAAUCCAAGACAGCUUGUUCCAUGCUGUCUCGAAGCUUCCGCCUCUCCGAGAACCAGGAGUCGAUCUCUCUCCUGCUCAGCUUGGUCUCCACCCUUAGCCGAUCCAGUUCUGCUUGGGUAGGAAAAGAACUUUUCAAAAAGCUGUCUUCCAAGAUUUUAACCUGACCCUGUGUUUUCUCUUUGAACUUCUGGGGGGCAAAGUCUGGGUACGCAUGGUACGUGCGACCGUGUCGGGAGGCCGCGAUGGCCAACUGGUCUUUGGCAAGGGAUUCGCUGGUGAUGUGGACAAUGCCCCUUUGACACCGAUACCGGUGGUCACUGAACCACUUCUUGAUCUCGCUCCUGGCAAGGCCAGUCACCUCGAUGAGCCGGUAAACCUCGGCAUCGUCAGGGAACUGGCUCUGGAGAAAGCUGGCCUUGAGAUGUGCUAUCUGCUCCUUUGUCUUCUUGCGGUCACUGGCUGGCGUGAGCGGGGGGUUGGCCACCUUGGGUGAGGGCUCUGGCACCUGAGCGAUAUGUGGACGCUUGGGUUCUGGGGCAGCUUGGGGAGUCACCAAGGGUCUCUUCUGGCCGUGGUUGGUGACUCCUGCCACGGCAAGCGUGAUGGGGGAGCAAGAGACGGUUGUUGACCCGCUGGUCACCUGAGUCAGCACCAGGCUAGUCUGGCCGAGGAUCUGGCACGGUAGAGCCGUCUGGAGGAUAGGCUGCGUCACCUUUGUGGGGGCCAACUGGGCGGGCAGCACAGUGAUGGUCGGGGGUACUGACUGGAUGGUGCCGUUGAACAUCUUCUUCCGGGCCUCCUCCACCUCUUCUGGGGACCAGCU